rnacentral:rRNA from 1 species
AUUGAACGCUGGCGGCAGGCCUAACACAUGCAAGUCGAGCGGAGCGGCGGACGGGGGAGUAAUACCUAGGAAUCUGCCUGGUAGUGGGGGAUAACGUUCGGAAACGGACGCUAAUACCGCAUACUAUCAGAUGAGCCUAGGUCGGCUUAGCUGGUUGGUGAGGUAAUGGCUCACAAAGGCGACGAUCCGUAACUGGGCUGAGAGGAUGAUCAGCCAAACUGGAACUGAGACACGGUCCAGACUCCUACGGGAGGCAGCAGUGGGGAAUAUUGGACAAUGGGCGAAAGCCUGAUCCAGCCAUGCCGCGUGUGUGAAGAAGGUCUUCGGAUUGUAAAGCACUUUAAGUUGGGAGGCGUUACCGACAGAAUAAGCACCGGCUAACUCCGUGCCAGCAGCCGCGGUAAUUC